rnacentral:rRNA from 1 species
GACGAACGCUGGCGGCGUGCCUAAUACAUGCAAGUAGAACGCUGAAGGAGGAGCUUGCUCUUCUGGAUGAGUUGCGAACGGGUGAGUAACGCGUAGGUAACCUGCCUGGUAGCGGGGGAUAACUAUUGGAAACGAUAGCUAAUACCGCAUAAGAGUAGAUGUUGCAUGACAUUUGCUUAAAAGGUGCAAUUGCAUCACUACCAGAUGGACCUGCGUUGUAUUAGCUAGUUGGUGGGGUAACGGCUCACCAAGGCGACGAUACAUAGCCGACCUGAGAGGGUGAUCGGCCAGACUGGGACUGAGACACGGCCCAGACUCCGACGGGAGGCAGCAGUAGGGAAGCUUCGGCAAUGGACGGAAGUCUGACCGAGCAACGCCGCGUGAGUGAAGAAGGGUUUCGGAUCGUAAAGCUCUGUUGUAAGAGAAGAACGAGUGUGAGAGUGGAAAGUUCACACUGUGACGGUAUCUUACCAGAAAGGGACGGCUAACUACGUG